UACGUAGGGCGCAAGCGUUAUCCGGAAUUAUUGGGCGUAAAGAGCUCGUAGGCGGCGCGGUAAGUCGGAUGUGAAAUCUCGGAGCUUAACUCCGAAACUGCAUUCGAUACUGCCGUGCUUGAGGACUGGAGAGGAGACUGGAAUUUACGGUGUAGCGGUGAAAUGCGUAGAUAUCGUAAGGAAGACCAGUGGCGAAGGCGGGUCUCUGGACAGUUCCUGACGCUGAGGCACGAAGGCCAGGGGAGCAAACGGG
rnacentral:rRNA from 1 species